CCUACGGGUGGCAGCAGUGAGGAAUAUUGCACAAUGGGGGAAACCCUGAUGCAGCGACGCCGCGUGAGUGAAGAAGUAUUUCGGUAUGUAAAGCUCUAUCAGCAGGGAAGAAAAUGACGGUACCUGAUUAAGAAGCCCCGUCUAACUACGUGCCAGCAGCCGCGGUAAUACGUAGGGGGCAAGCGUUAUCCGGAGUUACUGGGUGUAAAGGGAGUGUAGACGGCAGCACAAGUCUGGAGUGAAAUGCCGGGGCUUAACCCCGGAACUGCUUUGAAAACUGUGCAGCUAGAGUGCAGGAGAGGUAAGUGGAAUUCCUAGUGUAGCGGUGAAAUGCGUAGAUAUUAGGAAGAACACCAGUAGCGAAGGCGGCUUACUGGACUGUAACUGACGUUGAGGCUCGAGAGCGUGGGGAGCGAACAGGAUUAGAUACCCCUGUAGUC
rnacentral:rRNA from 1 species